GUAUACGCCAAAAAUUGAGAAGUAUAGAUAACGUUUCACUUCAAUUUUUAGUUUUAUUUUCUCCUUAUCAAUUUUAAAAAUUGAUAAAAAAAUAUCACUUUCGGUACCUAUUUUAAUAAACCUCAUAAAAUUAUGGAUAUUUUGGAUUUGUUUGAAUCUGAAGUAGAGAAUGAGUCCAGAAAAAAAUUGAAGUGAAAGUCAUCAAUUCAUCAUCAUUUAUAUGUAUGUACAUUGAUCUACAUACAAAGUUCCUACCUACUUCCCAAUUUUUUAAAACCAUUUUUCAACCAUUUGCAAGUGAAAACGCAUACUUUUCCAAAUAUUUAUCCUAAAUUGUUUUUAUAAGGAUUGCCUUUGAGGUUUUUAGAAUAAUUGUUACUCGUAGCAAAAUUUACCAUGUUUUAUUGCCGUGAAAGGUACACAUGUUUCGCUUAUAACCUGGCUGAGAAAUUUUGUAAGCAAAACACACCAGCAAAGAUAGCUCCAAAAAUCUGGCAUACUUUUCUUUCAUUUUGAGCGUUAUUUGGCAUAAUGAAAAUUCCAUAGCAACACUUUAGCGCAUUUUCAAAGAUGAAAUUUUGUCAAAAUUAUACCUAAUGAAGUUGGAAAGAUAAAAUUUACAUUUGCGCAAAUCGCAGUAUUUCAUUCAUGACGAAAUACAGUGAUUCGCGCAAAUGGGAAAUUUUGAUUUUUGGAUACCUAUUAUUAUUAUGGAAAAAACUGUUCAAAAAAUCACUCUUGAGGUGUCCCUUCCAGAAUCGACUCAAAUGUGGAUAAACUCGUUAAACAGGUCGAGUAUAACACCCAACUCGAUUUUCAGCUAAGUACAUAACUUCAUACCUAUUUACGUCUUCUGGAGCAAAUUAAAAAUUCUUGAGAAAUUGUAAAAUCGCGCUGGAGGCUCCAGAUUGGCUGGAAAUGGUGAAAUUUGGAUUUGGGGAAUUAUAAUAUCAGUUUUAGGACUUAUUUUGAUCAUUUUUGCUGAGCAUGUACGUACUUGUUUGAAAAAAGCAUAAAUCACCAAAAACUGUCAAUACAAAUAAUUUUGAAUUUUUCAACGUUCGCCAAAUAUCGAGAUAUGAAGUUGGGCAGCUGAAAAUUUGGUUUUGGAGGUUAUCGGAGACGGACACUCAACAGGUUCCCUUGUAAGGCACGUAACGAGAUAGGUAUACAUAUAGGUAAAUCGAAUAGUUUGUUGUCAAAGGAGGCAACUGUUUCAGCUUUGUAAGGCUAUAUGCAAGUUAAUUUCAUUGCUUCAAAACAGUUCCAGCUCAAGUAACGUCAAUAUAGACUGAACAGUGGUUGUUAUUGUGUGUAAGGGUAGGUGACCCAAGUCAAGGACGAAGAAGCGACAACACUGGAAACCAGUCCUGGGUAGUAGUACAGUACUAUGAUACAUGUUAUAAGUGAGCCAUGCCAUUUGCGUGUAUUUAUGUUUGACUUCUGCUAUCCUUACUACCUUACAUUUACAUCCUGCCACAUUCCAUUCCAAACGUUGAAAUCGCUUUCUCUUUUCUCCCUGCACACCCUUCAUUCAUCAGCUAUCACUGGUUUCAUCCCUCUAUUGUCCGUUCUCUGUUGGCUCGCUCGACUACGCUUCUUGUCAUCUUGUGUUUAGUUAGUCUUAGUACGUAGUUAAUAUUAGGUUUAGGUAGUUCGUGUUGAAAUGUACUUCUUUAAUUUUCGGACACGCGGUUAGGUAUUUCUGUUUUAAAGUAACUAGUAAGAAAUCUCGUGAAAAACGUGCUCUGAUAAAAAAUACGUGUGUUUAAAUAGGAGAAUAUUUCGUUUUUUCCCUCAACGCCAUUUCUCCAGAACUUCUAAAACAGGGUAUCCUAAUCUAACAGGUAGUGAAAGUAGUGAAAAAGUAAUAGGUAAUUGUGAAAAUCAGUAGUGAAAGUAGUGAUUUUUGGCUGAAAAGGUACCUAGUAAAAAUUUGGAAAAUAUAAUUUCAAUUUUGAAUACGUCUGGGUAAUUCCUUCUUUUUUACAACUCGAUUCAUGGAUUUUCAAAAGCUUUCGUCUUUUCUUCGCUCGGGCACGACUUCUUUUCUUCCCCUUUUAAAUUACUGCAAGAUACCUAUGCACUUGAAAAUGAGGUUUUUGACUCAAGUUUCAGAAAUAUCAAACACAGCAAACAAAAACUGAUUUUUCUUGUGAGAGCAAUGUUUUUUCACUUCUCGAAUCUCCCUCCAAGCAGCAGUAGACACCAUUGCUCAGUGGAUGCAGACAUGGAAGAUUGCUGUAAAUUGCGGGAAAUCCGUACACGUUGAUUUCUCCCUCCGCACUCACUCCUACUUACCAGUUAGCAUUAAUGGUGCAAUUGUGCCUUACUCGAACUGCACAAAGUACCUUGGCAUGUAUCUAGAUUCGAGGCUGAAUUGGAGCCAACACAUUCGUGCCAAAAAGCUCCAGAUAAAAGGAAAAAUGCGAGAAUUGCACUGGCUGAUGGGGCGCAAAUCGAGGCUAAGUCUUCAGAACAAGCGCCUUUUAUACCUGGCAAUAAUCCGACCCAUCUGGCUAUAUGGUAUUGCUCUAUGGGGUUGUGCCUCAAAAUCAAACAUACUGAUAAUACAACGAUGCCAGAACAUAAUCAUAAGAACGAUGGCGGGUGCAUACCGGUUUGAACGAAAUGCCGACCUCCAUGAGGACCUGAAAAUGAGUUAUGUCGCGGAGGAGAUUUGCAGGCAAGCAGAACGACACGAGAGAAGACUUCACAAGCACUGCAACCCCAGUGCCAUCCAACUUUUGGACAAUUCGAGCGAUACACGCAGGCUGAAGAGAUUCAAGCCGUCCGACCUUCCAGCAAGGAGAAUCAAUUGAGGAAACAGAACAGUUGAGCUGCGGUGGAAUCGUCGAUGGGCGCUCUCAGCCGGACCUGGUGAUUUUAGUCAAAGCCGACGAUGGAUGCCCAAUGUGGCAGGGGUCGCGAAAAUUUGAAAAAAAAAAAAAAAAAAAAAACUUCUCGAAUCCCACAUGUUACAAAUCUUUUGCCUCGCUUUGUUUGCUCUGUUCAAUUUUCUUUUUUAUUCUCAAUUUAAAUUUCUAAACAAUUAUUCUUCCAAUUUGGAAAAAUGCCAGAGCUGAGAACAAUGAACUUUUCGCAUUAAAAAUAAUUUUGAAUAGUUUUUUGAAUUUGAAUAUUUGAGAGCUUUUGUCCGUCACUUCGAUAGUUUUAAUUCCAAAUUUCGUAAAAAAAAUUCUGUUUCAAUAAUUUUAUAAAAUGUUGAAGACUCAACUUCUCCAGUUCUCCCAUAAAAAAUAACACUACCUAUUCAAGUUACUGAUUAAUGAAUUUUCAAAAAAUUACUCCUUCGCUUCAUUGAGACCCAUUUUUUUUUCUUGUUCGAAAUUGAAAUUUGAAAAAAAUUACUGUUCAAAUAUUACAAUUGCCAAGGUCAACAAAAUCAGCAUCUGAAAUAAAAAAUUAUAUCAAUUUUGGAGAGCUUUUACCCUUGCUUCCUUCGGUGUUCAUGAUUGCUUUGAAAUUGAAAAAUGUCACACCAGUUUUCAAAGGUUACGUUCUUCGAAUAAUACAAAAAAUGUUGGGAAAAUAUGGGAAAAGGAAAGAGAGGUUAAAAUUGUCUGGAAUUGUGUUCUAAAUACUAGUGAAAUGGUAAUGAAAAAGUUGUGAUUUUCGCUAGAAAAAUUCCAUUAGAUACCCUGUAAAAGCUCUGGAAGUAAGAAAAUUCAACAUUUUAAUGAAUUGCAAAAUGUGCGCUCAAACUGAUCCGAUCAAUAAACGGAUUCAUUCCUACUUAUCUAAGAAAAAAAAAUGGUAUAGCAUAAAUUUCUAUCAUUUUGGACGUUAUCUGGAAAAUUUUUUACUUCGCAUAACAAAAAUUCCAUGGAAACAUUUCAGUGGAUUCUCGAAGUUGAAAUUUCCCCAAAGUUUCACCCAAUGAAGUACACAUAACUGCGUGCCCGAAUACUAAAAAAGUGCAUUUCAACAUUUGUAAUUUUUAUCCUGGAUGAAAAAUGAAUAAAAUCACAACACAAUUUCUUGCAUGUGCAAAUGUUUACCAUAAAAUAUAUAAAAAUGCGUAAACCAAUGCACUAGUUCAUAGUCUUCACGCUGAAAUUCAUUAAAAAGUUGAAAAUGUGUGAAUAAUUUCGCGUGAUGAAACGCAUUAAAAUGUAAACGGUAAAUGCAGAUAUAAACGCACAUAAGCAUGCGCAUUCUGAAACGCUUACGAAAAUAUGUGCAUAAACGCAUCAGUAAAAGCAUACGUAAGUCCUCAUGCUGAAAUGUGUAGACCUGGAUGCAUAUACGCACUCGUAAACGCAGAGAUUUGUCACAUGCUGAAAUCAAUGGUAUAUUGUUACGCAGAAUGCAAUGCAUAAACGCAGGUGUAUACGCACAUAGAGUAAAAAUGUGCAGAAACGCUGGAGUACUGCGUGCAUAAAUGCGUGAGUAAAGACAUGUGUAAAAGCAUGCUUAAACGCCCCAAAAGUCUCUUUUUACGCAUGCGUAAGAAGGGCGUAAACACAUGCACAACGCAUAUGUUUGUGCAUAUGUUUAAGCACUUCAAAAAUUUCACGGGAAUUGACGGUUUUGGACAUUUCUAUAAAAAAGCGCCUCAAUGCGAAUCGAUUAUCGUAGCAGCCUAAUCGUACUAUGUACCAUUCGUACUCGUGAAGAGGAAAAUCUACAAGAAGCUCGUGAGGAAGAGAAAAUUGCGAGGAGACGGUGGCGCUGCAGUGGUUAUCAUUUCACCGUAAUAAAACAGGCGUAGUGGGGGGGGGGGUGCAGUGUUCAAAAGUAUAUAAUUGAUGAUGCUGCCGCCGAUGCGCAGAGCAGCUGUAGUCGCGAGAUCCUUCGAACAUCGUAACCACGAUCAGCUCAGGGGCGCCGAGCUCAGCUGCCAGCUAUAACUCGGCUUCGGUCACUAUCGCUACUGCAGCCCCAGCCGCCGCCGCAGCGUCCGCAUCAAAUUCUAAAUCAUCCGCAGUACAAUCAUCCACGAGUCCAUCUGGCAAAGUUAUCGGCCCAGCAGAUCCGCCCAAGGAGGAUGAUGCCGGUGGUGGAGAUCAGGCGGGUGGGAGGGGCGGUCAGACGACGUGUUUGAAUAACUAUCUGACCAUCAAGGAGCUGCACGAUAUCGAAAAGGAAGACGGAUCAGCUUAAAGAAGAUCCCAUACCUGAAAGUUCCAACUCGUUGAUUUUAAUUAAACGAAGCGAAAACGUCUCUGUCAACGCUAUCGACGUCCGGCGCUUAUCAGUAGCACCCGCAAUUGCAAAAGUGCGAGAGGCGCAAGAAGAAACGUAAUUUGAGGACUCGUUCGGCGACCAGUAGCAGUUCUAGUUCGGAUAUAAAACAUGCGGAAGCGUCGGUAUCUCCAGCAUCGCAUUGAACAGAAUGCAGGCUGAGCAGGGAAGCAUCGGCGAGUUUCAAAAAUAUCAUAAUUGCUUUCUACGCAGUCGUCGACAUACCCUUGCCAACGUUAGAUGGUGAAUGUUUUUGCAUUUGAACAUGGAAUUAUGAAAGAUUCAAUAUUUAGAGGAAUGUCACAAUGGUGAGUGUUUUUGCAUUUGAACAUGGAAUUACCUAUUAAGGAUUCAUUGUAUAGAAAUAUGUCACAAUCAGGAACAUCCUCCACAUUCAACACGAGAAGACACUGAAUGGCUACUGUUAGACGCCAAUCGCAAGAUGGAGCUGAAGGCAGAAAGGCGAAUGGCAGGAAGCAGAUCGCCUGAUGGAGAAGGCAGAAAGGAAAAUGGCAGAAGCAGACCGCCUGAUGGAAAAUGCAGAACGGCGACUAGCAGAAGCUAAUCGCCAGAUGGAGAACGCCGAACGGAUGUGCAUCAUUUGCCAGGAUGUUGAGCCCACACAGGUAUGCGUGCCUUGUGGGCAUAUAGUGAUGUGUCUAGAGUGUGUACAGAGUUUUUUUUUUGGAUAAUCCAAAUAAUUGCCCGAUUUGCAGGCAAUCAGUGGAAUAUACUAUCAAGGUAUAUUUAUAGCUAGGUAUUUUAAACUCGUAAGGUAUUAUUUGUAUCCUAUGUAAAUGUAGGUACAGUAUGGUACUUCAAUAAUAUAAUUUGUUUGAAAUAAAUUACCUAUAUAAAUUAA